rnacentral:rRNA from 1 species
GACGAACGCUGGCGGCGUGCUUAACACAUGCAAGUCGAACGGAAAGGCCCUGCUUUUGUGGGGUGCUCGAGUGGCGAACGGGUGAGUAACACGUGAGUAACCUGCCCUUGACUUUGGGAUAACUUCAGGAAACUGGGGCUAAUACCGGAUAGGAGCUCCUGCUGCAUGGUGGGGGUUGGAAAGUUUCGGCGGGUGGGGAUGGACUCGCGGCUUAUCAGCUUGUGGGUGGGGUAGUGGCUUACCAAGGCUUUGGCGGGUAGCCGGCCUGGGGGGGUGGCCGGCCACAUUGGGCCUGAGGUACGGCCCAGACUCCUACGGGGGGCAGCAGUGGGGAAUCUUGCACAAUGGGCGGACGCCUGAUGCAGCAACGCCGCGUGCGGGAUGACGGCCUUCGGGUUGUAAACCGCUUUCGCCUGUGACGAAGCGUGAGUGACGGUAAUGGGUAAAGAAGCACCGGCUAACUACGUG